UUGGGCCGGCGGUUGGGUAAGCCGAAACUAAGGCAAGCCCAAUCCGGACCUGAUAUGCAAGCCGGAGGCGAUCGGCUGCCGGCUGCCCAUACGCCGUCCUUAAUUUGCUUCCCGUUCUCCGCUUGAACUACGAACGGUGAUACAGGCAUCGCUGGGAGUCGUGCUGCUUAGCAGGAUUGGAGCUGCAGAUUGGUGGCAAGCGGAAGCUGAACAUGUGGAUCGGCCGACGCGGAAUGCAUAGGGGUCAUGGAAAACCAAGAGAAAUUGCAUGAAGAGCUGUUAAAAGAGUAAUAGAAGCAUGGCAUAUCUCAGUCUUAUAGCAAAAAUGAUCUCCAGUUCCUGUGUUUGUAUGAAAAUGAAGACUACUGUCUGAUCGAAGAACAGUAGGGGAAGAACCGAAGAACAGACCUUGGCUGCAUGGCUUUGGCCGCCUGGAAUCAUCCCAGCUUCUGUGUGCAGCGAAUCAAACCUCUGCAGCCUCCUUGGUGGUGACUGCAUCUUCUCUGAUGCAAAUCCAGAGUCUGCACCCCCUUCAGCAGCUCCAUUGCCGUUUGUCUUCAGAGGCUCAGCCAUCCUCUCAAGGCAUACGGGGUGGGGCCGAGGAUGACAACAUAUUGUUACUACUUUUCUUGCAACGAAGUGAUCUGAAAUUGUGGUGCUGGAGUCUGAACGAGGAUGGGAUCCUCGUGCAACAAACAGACUUGUCACUGAAUGCGGGUGAAGUCAAAUAUUGUUAUCAUCCCCUUUGCGCAUGCUAGUCCUCUUUCAGUGCAGCAAUUGGGAAUCCUGUGAUCUGCAACAACUAAGGAAGGUGGCUACAGGGGAAGACACGCAAAUAAGCCAGGAAGGUGGCUAAGGGGGAAUGCACGUUGGCUUUCAAAAGUAGCAUCUCUUGUCACAUGUGGACUUGUGAGUGGCGUAGCCUGUCUCUACCAGAAGCCACGCGUCGACGACGACGAAGGCGUCCAUGUGGCCAUCCAAUCAGCAUCAACAACUUUGAAUAGUGUGUACAUAACUGAUGGCCCAAAGUGGCAGCCAACAGUAUUGACCUCGUUGCCGUGUCUCCAACUCGAGCAGCUGUUCUAGGCGAGCUGUUGAUUCCGCUGCAAGCCCGGUGGUUUCAACUCCCUUUCGCUGAAAUCUGAUGCGUUGCUGCAAACGUGGACUUGACUGGAUACACUUGCUCGCCAGAGCGAGCGCACGCCGGCAGGAUCUUUGCGAAGAACGGUCUUGCUGAUGGUGGCAUCCGAGGGGAGGAGCCAGUUGCCUGGCUAAAGCUGCCAAGCUCUUUUGACCAUGCGCGCGUGAUCUCGGAUUCUCGGAGGUAGCAGUACGUCUGAUGGACACUUUGCGCAUCGAUUGCGGCUUGGCUUGGCUGCUUGUAGAAAUUCCAGGUUUUGUCUCUUCUGGUUCCCACAACGUGGCAGCAGAUUACUAGGCUGGCAACACUAGUAAACGCCAUUAUAUUACUGCUGUUGCGUUCUGUCACCGUCGGAUUACCUUUUUGUCGACUUCCAUCUCCACUUCUGAAUAAAAAUAUGCAGAGUGCCGGUAAAUGAGUUUCAUUUUGAAGAUAACACGUCAAGACGCAGGGUGCAUGAAUGAAUACUCGAUGCUUUCUUU